rnacentral:rRNA from 1 species
UUUUGGACAAUGGGGGGAACCCUGAUCCAGCAAUGCCGCGUGUGUGAAGAAGGCCUUCGGGUUGUAAAGCACUUUUGUCCGGGACGAAAAGGCGAGGGCUAAUACCUAUUGCCGAUGACGGUACUGGAAGAAUAAGCACCGGCUAACUACGUGCCAGCAGCCGCGGUAAUACGUAGGGUGCAAGCGUUAAUCGGAAUUACUGGGCGUAAAGCGUGCGCAGGCGGUUGUGCAAGACAGAUGUGAAAUCCCCGGGCUUAACCUGGGCAUGGCAUUUGUGACUGCACGGCUAGAGUGUGUCAGAGGGGGGUAGAAUUCCACGUGUAGCAGUGAAAUGCGUAGAGAUGUGGAGGAAUACCGAUGGCGAAGGCAGCCCCCUGGGAUGACACUGACGCUCAUGCACGAAAGCGUGGGGAGCAAACAGG